rnacentral:rRNA from 1 species
AGUGAACGCUGGCGGUAGGCCUAACACAUGCAAGUCGAACGGCAGCACAGUAAGAGCUUGCUCUUACGGGUGGCGAGUGGCGGACGGGUGAGGAAUACAUCGGAAUCUACUUUUUCGUGGGGGAUAACGUAGGAAACUUACGCUAAUACCGCAUACGACCUACGGGUGAAAGCAGGGGAUCUUCGGACCUUGCGCGAUUGAAUGAGCCGAUGUCGGAUUAGCUAGUUGGCGGGGUAAAGGCCCACCAAGGCGACGAUCCGUAGCUGGUCUGAGAGGAUGAUCAGCCACACUAGAACUGAGACACGGUCCAGACUCCUACGGGAGGCAGCAGUGGGGAAUAUUGGACAAUGGGCGCAAGCCUGAUCCAGCCAUACCGCGUGGGUGAAGAAGGCCUUCGGGUUGUAAAGCCCUUUUGUUGGGAAAGAAAAGCAGCAGGUUAAUACCCCGCUGUUCUGACGGUACCCAAAGAAUAAGCACCGGCUAACUUCGUG